rnacentral:misc_RNA from 1 species
CCUGCAGAAACGGCUCGUGAAAUUAUGCUUAUUGCAGCUGCUGCUGCAGCAGCUGUUAAACCUGCUGACAUGAAGAAGGCUGUGUCUGGCUCGCCAGCUGGUGGUACACCAGUUCUUACUAGGUCUCCUUCACUGCAAAGUACUACAAGUGCUUUGGCUUCACCACAAACCCAGCUCUAUUCUGUUCAUCAAGGCUCCUCCCUUUGCAAAUUGCAAGCUGAAUUACCAAUUGCAAGGAGACAUUCUCUUCAGAGAUUUUUU